GCCUCUAUAGCUCAGUUGGUAGAGCGCGGCACUAGUACUCCUACUGCGAUGCCGAGGUCGACGGUUCAACUCCGUCUGGAGGCA